rnacentral:rRNA from 1 species
CCUACGGGGGGCUGCAGUGGGGAAUAUUGGACAAUGGGGGGAACCCUGAUCCAGCCAUGCCGCGUGUGUGAAGAAGGCCCUCGGGUUGUAAAGCACUUUCAGUGAGGAAGAACGCCUGGUGGUUAAUACCCAUCAGGAAAGACAUCACUCACAGAAGAAGCACCGGCUAACUCCGUGCCAGCAGCCGCGGUAAUACGGAGGGUGCGAGCGUUAAUCGGAAUUACUGGGCGCAAAGCGCGCGUAGGUGGCUUGAUAAGCCGGUUGUGAAAGCCCCGGGCUCAACCUGGGAACGGCAUCCGGAACUGUCAAGCUAGAGUGCAGGAGAGGAAGGUAGAAUUCCCGGUGUAGCGGUGAAAUGCGUAGAGAUCGGGAGGAAUACCAGUGGCGAAGGCGGCCUUCUGGACUGACACUGACACUGAGGUGCGAAAGCGUGGGUAGCAAACAGGAUUAGAUACCCGGGUAGUC